AUGAAUGGUCUUCUAAGUUUUAUGGUGUUCUGUAACCCAGGAUCUCUGUUCAAGUAUAACUUAAUCAUAGUUUCAAUCUCCAAAGUAGGUUUAAGGGUAUUCAACUGCAGCACUGAAUCUAUGCUUCUCUUUUCUCUGGCUGUCUCCAUGGGCAAGGUCAAAGCUGAAAAGAGAAUAUUCCCCAGACCUGUGUCAUGCAGAGACUUCCUUCACACUGAGGAUGCAUCCCGUCCACUUGGGCAAAGGUCAACUCUGACGAGAGAGGAACCCUUUACUUUCAACAAUCUUGUAGAGCAUCAUUUGUCUUUGGCCAUUCCAAUGCAUUUUAUACUGGAACUUCUGCAGCAGCAAAGCCUGUAACUGGACUUUUAAUGUGACUUUCCUGUUUGGAUGAGGUUUUAUAGCCUGGGGCCUCAGGACAGGCAGAAUUUCCAAGAUGCAUUUUAUUAGGAAGCUUUGAAUAGCUCUGCUUCUUCACAUAUAUUUUUGAAAUCACUGCUAGUCAUGCAUGAUAAUUUGGAGCCAAAGUCAUGUGGAAAACCUCUCACUCUCAAAGUCCUGAUAUAUUUGUGAGUUUUGUAAGCAGUUGCCCUAUAAAUGUAAAUCUCUUCCUAUGGUAAACAUUUACAAUGAAUCAAAGAGAUCUGUAGUGGGUGCAUGUUGAGUUCAACAGAUAUAUCAGACUUCAAAGGUAUUGCAAACAUGACUGGUUCUCCAGUGUGUAGUCCUACCUGAAGUGAGGUAGAUGAUAUUUUUACUAAGAAAAGGUGUGGGAAUUUUUCCAGACCUGAAAACAGCCAUAGCUCAGUACGCAGCUCUUUUGUAUUCUCUUUUCAGCCACUGCUGAUUCCAAAUUAUUCUAUGAAAAUAUUUUUAGUUUGUUAGCAAGAAGACAUAUGCCUCUCGAGUUUAAUUACAGACAGAGAAGGUACAGAGACUUGAUCAUCAGUAUUAAGAUUUUUUAAAUAUGUGAUUAUUAAAUUAAGAAAUUUCAAAUUAUUCUGCUUUGUUUGUGCCAUAUUUUUUUCAGAAUGUUAACAAAAUCUUUCUCGAUUGAUAAAUAUUGAUAAAAAUAAAUCUGGAUAAAUAUUCUGAUGGCUUCUGUUUCACAAUAAUAUGUUUGUUUCCAGUGUUUCUAGUGAUCUCUCACUUUACCCCACCAAAAAUACUGAAAAAGAGAAACUAUAAUAAGUGUUGCUCAUUCUACUACAGGCACAUCAAGGGAGUGCAAAGAACAUGACAAUUAGCAUGGCAGUCAGUAUGCCAAUUGGUUUUUGCAGUUACAGUAUACCAAUGUUUUUGCAAUUACAAACCUGGCUCCGGGUUCUCUCAGGCUUUCUCAAAAUUCUGUUCAAAUUUAUGAGGCGAAGUUUAAUGUUCAGAGAAUUUUUCACUGAGCUUACGCUCUUGUCUUAAUUCUGUGAGGAUGGGAUGCCAAUGGCAGGAGCAGAGAUUUGGGGAAAGGCAUCACACUUGCUGUCAGGCCCAGGAUAGUGCAGGAACAGUUUCUAAUCUUGGUGACAUUUUCUACUGAAGAAGCACAGCAGGAGAAGGUGGGUGGAGUGGCUGGCAUUUAGCUAAGCCAGACUGCUUCUAACAUCAAAAGAGUUUCAGUUCAAUAAUUGGACAAAGGGUCAACCAGAUUCUUGCCUUGCCUAAGGCAAUAUUUUGAUAAUGCUUUUGGUCUGUGCAAGUGCUUCCAUACAAAUGUGGAGUGAGGGAG
ensembl:lncRNA